rnacentral:rRNA from 1 species
UACGUAGGGUGCGAGCGUUGUCCGGAAUUAUUGGGCGUAAAGAGCUCGUAGGCGGUGUGUCACGUCGGCCGUGAAAACCUGCAGCUUAACUGUGGGCGUGCGGUCGAUACGGGCAUCACUGGAGUUCGGCAGGGGAGUCUGGAAUUCCUGGUGUAGCGGUGAAAUGCGCAGAUAUCAGGAGGAACACCGGUGGCGAAGGCGGGACUCUGGGCCGAUACUGACGCUGAGGAGCGAAAGCGUGGGGAGCGAACAGG